GACGAACGCUGGCGGCGUGCUUAACACAUGCAAGUCGAACGGAAAGGCCCUGCUUUUGUGGGGUGCUCGAGUGGCGAACGGGUGAGUAACACGUGAGUAACCUGCCCUUGACUUUGGGAUAACUUCAGGAAACUGGGGCUAAUACCGGAUAGGAGCUCCUGCUGCAUGGUGGGGGUUGGAAAGUUUCGGCGGUUGGGGAUGGACUCGCGGCUUAUCAGCUUGUUGGUGGGGUAGUGGCUUUCCAAGGCUUUGACGGGUAGCCUGCCUGAGAGGGUGACCGGCCACAAUGGGACUGAGAUACGGCCCAGACUCCUACGGGAGGCAGCAGUGGGGAAUAUUGCACAAUGGGCGGAAGCCUGAUGCAGCAACGCCGCGUGCGGGAUGACGGCCUUCGGGUUGUAAACCGCUUUCGCCUGUGACGAAGCGUGAGUGACGGUAAUGGGUAAAGAAGCACCGGCUAACUACGUG
rnacentral:rRNA from 1 species